GAUGAACGCUGGCGGCGUGCUUAACACAUGCAAGUCGAGCGAAGCACUUAGGAAGGAUUCUUCGGAUGAUUUCCUAUUUGACUGAGCGGCGGACGGGUGAGUAACGCGUGGGUAACCUGCCUCAUACAGGGGGAUAACAGUUAGAAAUGACUGCUAAUACCGCAUAAGACCACAGCACCGCAUGGUGCAGGGGUAAAAACUCCGGUGGUAUGAGAUGGACCCGCGUCUGAUUAGUUAGUUGGUGGGGUAACGGCCUACCAAGGCGACGAUCAGUAGCCGACCGGAGAGGGUGACCGGCCACAUUGGGACUGAGACACGGCCCAAACUCCUACGGGAGGCAGCAGUGGGGAAUAUUGCACAAUGGGGGAAACCCUGAUGCAGCGACGCCGCGUGAGCGAAGAAGUAUUUCGGUAUGUAAAGCUCUAUCAGCAGGGAAGAAAAUGACGGUACCUGACUAAGAAGCCCCGGCUAACUACGUGCCAGCAGCCGCCGUAA
rnacentral:rRNA from 1 species